rnacentral:rRNA from 1 species
CUCGUAGGCGGUUUGUCGCGUCUGCUGUGAAACCCGGAGGCUCAACCUCCGGCCUGCAGUGGGUACGGGCAGACUAGAGUGCGGUAGGGGAGAUUGGAAUUCCUGGUGUAGCGGUGGAAUGCGCAGAUAUCAGGAGGAACACCAAUGGCGAAGGCAGAUCUCUGGGCCGUAACUGACGCUGAGGAGCGAAAGCAUGGGGAGCAAACA